CGAGUGCCCCAAGCGUUAUCCGGAAUUAUUGGGCGUAAAGGGUGUGUAGGUGGUUUUGUUAGUCUUCUGUUAAAUUCUUCGGCUUAACCGGGGGUCUGCAAAAGAAACGGCAAAACUAGAGGAUGCGAGAGGUGUGCGGAACUCAUGGUGUAGGGGUGAAAUCCGUUGAUAUCAUGGGGAGCACCGAAAGCGAAGGCAGCACACUGGCGCACUCCUGACACUGAAACACGAAAGCGUGGGUAGCGAAUGGGAUUAGAUACCCCAGUAGUCCACGCCCUAAACGAUGUUCAUUAGCUAUUCGGAGUAUCGACCCUCUGAGUGGCGUAGCUAACGCGUUAAAUGAACCGCCUGGGUAGUACGGCCGCAAGGCUA
rnacentral:rRNA from 1 species